rnacentral:rRNA from 1 species
GACGAACGCUGGCGGCGUGCUUAACACAUGCCAGUCGAACGGAAAGGCCCUGCUUGCAGGGUACUCGAGUGGCGAACGGGUGAGUAACACGUGGGUGAUCUGCCCUGCACUUCGGGAUAAGCCUGGGAAACUGGGUCUAAUACCGGAUAGGAGCCAUUUUUAGUGUGAUGGUUGGAAAGUUUUUUCGGUGUAGGAUGAGCUCGCGGCCUAUCAGCUUGUUGGUGGGGUAAUGGCCUACCAAGGCGGCGACGGGUAGCCGGCCUGAGAGGGUGGACGGCCACAUUGGGACUGAGAUACGGCCCAGACUCCUACGGGAGGCAGCAGUGGGGAAUAUUGCACAAUGGGCGCAAGCCUGAUGCAGCGACGCCGCGGGGGGGAUGACGGCCUUCGGGUUGUAAACUCCUUUCGCUAGGGACGAAGCUUUUUGUGACGGUACCUAGAGAAGAAGCACCGGCUAACUACGUG